rnacentral:misc_RNA from 1 species
GAUGAAGAACGUAGCGAAAUGCGAUAAGUAAUGUAAAUUGCAGAAUUCAGUGAAUCAUCGAAUCUUUGAACGCACCUUGCGCUCCUUGGUAUUCCGAGGAGCAUGCCUGUUUGAGUGUCAUUAAUAUAUCAACCUUCUCUUUUUUGAGUUGUUUGGAUGUGGGGGUUUGCUGGCCUCUUAAAUGAUUCAGCUCCCCUGAAAUGCAUUAGCAGAACAACCUGUUCAUUAGCGUGAUAAUUAUCUAUGCUAUUGAAUGUGAGGGCAGUUCAGCUUUCUAACCGUCCUUGGACAAUUCAUCAUUAAUGUGACCUCAAAUCAGGUAGGACUACCCGCUGAACUUAAGCAUAUCAAUAAGCGGAGGA